CCUACGGGAGGCAGCAGUGGGGAAUAUUGCACAAUGGGGGAAACCCUGAUGCAGCGACGCCGCGUGAGUGAAGAAGUAUUUCGGUACGUAAAGCUCUAUCAGCAGGGAAGAAAAUGACGGUACCUGACUAAGAAGCCCCGGCUAACUACGUGCCAGCAGCCGCGGUAAUACGUCGGGGGCAAGCGUUAUCCGGAUUUACUGGGUGUAAAGGGAGCGUAGACGGCAGCGCAAGUCUGGAGUGAAAUCCCAUGGCUUAACCAUGGAACUGCUUUGGAAACUGUGCAGCUAGAGUGCAGGAGAGGUAAGCGGAAUUCCUAGUGUAGCGGUGAAAUGCGUAGAUAUUAGGAGGAACACCAGUGGCGAAGGCGGCUUACUGGACUGUAACUGACGUUGAGGCUCGAAAGCGUGGGGAGCAAACAGGAUUAGAUACCCGAGUAGUC
rnacentral:rRNA from 1 species